AGAUCAUUUUGGGGACAAUUUCUAAGUAGCCCUUUGUAGGGCUCCCAUGCUUCAUAAAGUGACUCACCCGAUUGUUGCUCAAAAUUAAUUAUUGCCUUCUUAAUUUU